CUACGGGAGGCAGCAGUGAGGAAUAUUGGGCAAUGGGGGAAACCCUGACCCAGCAAUGCCGCGUGCGGGAAGACGCCUUUCGGGGUGUAAACCGCUUUUCUGCAUGAAGAGGAAGGACGGUAGUGCAGGAAUAAGUCACGGCUAACUACGUGCCAGCAGCCGCGGUAAUACGGAGGGUGCAAGCGUUAUCCGGAAUCACUGGGUUUAAAGGGUGCGUAGGCGGCGCAGUAAGUCAGAGGUGAAAGCCCGUGGCUCAACCAUGGAAAUGCCUUUGAUACUGUUGCGCUUGAAUCAGGUUGAGGGCAGCGGAAUGUGGCAUGUAGCGGUGAAAUGCAUAGAUAUGCCAUAGAACACCGAUUGCGAAGGCAGCUGCCUGGGCCUGGAUUGACGCUGAGGCACGAAAGCGUGGGGAGCGAACAGGAUUAGAAACCCUAGUAGUCC
rnacentral:rRNA from 1 species